AUACGGAGGGUGCAAGCGUUACUCGGAAUCACUGGGCGUAAAGCGCGCGCAGGCGGCCUGAUAAGUUGGAUGUGAAAGCCUACGGCUCAACCGUAGAACUGCAUCCAAAACUGUCAGGCUAGAGUGUGGGAGAGGAAGAUGGAAUUAGUUGUGUAGGGGUAAAAUCCGUAGAGAUAACUAGGAAUACCAAAAGCGAAGGCAAUCUUCUGGAACACUACUGACGCUGAGGCGCGAAAGCGUGGGGAGCAAACGGGAUUAGAUACCCUAGUAGUCC
rnacentral:rRNA from 1 species